AUGUUACUGUCUUCUUAAAGGAGUGCUGACUUUUGUUUUGACAGGCAGUUAAGUUCCCUGUAACUCAGGCUGAGCCUCUCCAAGCUUGUGUUUCUGCUCUGUUAGGGCAGGUCUAGAAUAGACUUCCAACUAGGGCUAUUAGACCUGUUACUACGGCUUCAACUUCCUGGGCGCUACUGAAUCUCAAGUGUUCCUGCACUCUAGGUGCUCCUAACUCAGACACCUCCCGUGCAGCUAAGAGCUUCCUGGUCCUUGUUCCUUCUGUGGGAGUUCUUCUGUGCCCAGCCUGGUGGAAUCGUGCGUCUUGUGGAGCUCACGGCUCCUUGCUGCUGGCAUUCAGUGUCUGGAAGGAGUUGCUUCAAGUAUUUUGUCUGGUUUCUAGUGGCUGACUUCGGGAAGGCCAUAGCGGGGAGCCAGCUGGGAAGAGGAGCAGCCGGGACUCGGACUGCUGCCCAUGUGGGAUGCCGGCACUGCAGGCAGAGAGCGGCUCAGCCCACGAUGUCAGCGCAGGCCCUGCAAUCACGGAUCCUGGAAGUGAGGUCUCCGGAAGCUGUCAUCCAAAGGCAUCCUUUGUAGCAAGUUGGCUUGAAGGGAGAACUAAGUAGCCACCACAUCUCCAAGGCUACCGCAAAUAUAGCGUGAGGCUUAUUUUCUCCCUACUUCCAUGUCUUUGCUAAUGCAGUUCCUGCUCCCUUAGAUACCUGACCUCUCCGUCCAUUUUCCCCAGGACAUGCCUACUUACCUUUCAGGACUCAGCUUACUAGUAUCUCCUACAGGAAGCCUUCCCUGACUACCUGCCUCAGUUCCUAUUAGAUGUCCCAUUUUACACAUGGGGGAACUUGCCAGCAAGAUUAGGAAGGGAUAGGUGAACUGGAAUCAAUUUCUGCCAGCCCUGCAUUGUAACUCCACCCCUUCUGUCUGUCCAUUACACCUGCUUUUGCAUAGUACACCUGUCUCAUCUGGGAUCAAGAAAGAGGAGAUAUCAUUAGGGCCACGUGGAAAUUAAACUCCACAUGGAGCCAUGAAACUUCUAGAAAGCCUUGCGCACACUGAACUCCACCCUGUUUGAAGUUGGGCACCACCCCCUACCUCAUAAAAGGGGGUGCUAAAACAUGGGUACUAUUUUUGCUUUUGGCUUCUGGCCCUUGCUUUCGGAGCUCUCUCUGGCCCGCCCCAUGCUGUCUCCUCCUAGGCAGCUCUCCGAGCCGGGUGGCCCACACUUGGGGUCAGUACGCAUUCACUCUCUCUCUGGGAAGUAAAUCCUGCUCUCACUUGUGCGCUGCCUUUACGCCUCUGCUUGCGAUUCUUGUCUCCGCGGAGGCAAGACCCUGGAAUAAAAAAAUGAGAGACUUAUGCCUAUAACACUAGCCUAGCACUUAGCAUUUAAAUUAUGCUUGUCUUUUGUGUAUUUUAUUCCCUGCACUUUAUUCUGAGGAACUGUGUCUUUGUAUCUCGGGUCCCUGGUCCAGUGCCUGAAAGGCAAUAGGUGCGGAAUUGAACUUCACCUUAAAAUUGUUGCACUUGGUCAGCCUUGCUCAACAAAUGCCAGAAAACACGGAUCCACAGGAAGUUAUUCUUUAUUCGCAGUCUGUAAAGGUCACCUUCCCUUAUGCAGUCCCCAGAGGGGAGCAAGAGAUCCCAGUACCCCACCCCCUCAGUUUGCAAGUGGGCUCUUUGGCUAGACCAAGGAACCCAAUUGCCGAAUUCAUGCAAGGCUGAUUAUUAAGAGAAACACAGGAGAGUUUUAUUAAAGUUACACACACAUGGGGAUCUUCGUAAGUGAGUGAAGUCUGGGUUUGACAUGGUAUUGCAGCCACCGCUCGCGCCGCCAGCAUCCCAUAUCCCAACACAGGUUCGAGUCCAGCUGCUCCACUUCUGAUCCAGCUUCAUGCCAAUGUGCUAGGGAAGGCAGCGUGGAAGAUGGCCCAAGUGCUUGGGUCCCUGCCAUCCAUGUGGGAGACCCGGAUGGAGUUCCAGGCUCCUAGCUUUGACCUGGUCCAGCACUGGCCAUUGCAGCCAUCUGGGGAGUAAAUCAGUGGGUGGAAGAUCGAGCUCUCUCUCUCUCUCUCUCUCUGUCACUCUGCCUUUCAAAGAAAUAAAAAUAAAUCUUUAAAAAAAAUAAAAACUAAAAAAUGUGCAGUCUGCAGAAAUGACAAAAGUGUGAUAUUUUCAUAGUUUUUAGACAAAGAACAAUAAAGUUGUGAACAGCUGGUGGGACAAAUGGAUCUCUGGGCUGGGGUACUUCCUGGGCAUCAGUCUGAGAUGUACGGGGCCAGGGGAUAACCUAGGGGAAUAUAAGGGUUACUUCAAGGAGUUUGUUGCGAUUUUUAAACAUUAAUUAUUUAUAUAUUUGAAAAGCAAGGGGGAUGAGAGAGAGAGAGACAGAGACAGAGACAGAGAUCUACUCGCUAGUUCACUCCCCAAAUGGCUGAAGCCAGGAGCCAUUAACUCUAUCCGGGUCUCGCACACAGAUGGCAGGGACCCAAGCACCAAGGCCAUCAUCUGGUGCAUUAGCAGGGAGCUGGCCUUGAACCAGCAGUCAGGUAGGGGCUGCUGGCAUCACAAGCCCCAGCUUAACCUGCCGCACCGUCACGCGGUUCCUAAGGAGUCUGUUAAUUCGGGUUCACUGCAGACCCGGGAAGCAGCCUCUGGUGAUCAAGGCUGUUUUCCAGCCUUGGUGUGUGUAGGACAACUCGCCAGAAGCAUCUUUGUGGCUUGCUGCGUGUAGCAAGAGACAGGCUGGCUGGCCCUUUCUGAAGCUGCCGCUCCGCCAAGUGAUUUCAGCUUGAAAUAAGCAAUACGCCAGUUGUAUUUUGAGCUAGUCCUUAACUCCUUCGGCCCUUUGUUCGUACAGUUUUCAUUUUGUGUUAUAUUUCUCCGUGCACGAAUCCAUGGGUAAUCUCUGACAAACUGAGCUGACAGGAAGUCGCACCCCCACUCCGCGAUGAUUUGCAUUUAAAAGCAAACACUGGAAAGGAGAAUUCCUUUGGCCAAAGAGGAAUGUCAGGCACGUGUGGCUGGCCGGGGAGGUGAGUUUUUUUGGAAGGGGCCAGAGGCCCUUUCUGGGAGCAACUAGCAAAUCAUCUGAUGGGAGGGGGCGAUUUUCUUUGGGUCCGAGCUAGUAACAUGGACGGCGUUGGAAGAUUUGAACAAAGUCCCUAAGGAGGCCUGGAUCUGGAAAGACAAUGGGAGAGAACGCAGGCGCACAGAAAGAGCCAUUUUCUCUUUCCAUUUGCCGGAGUUACAGGCUCUGGCUGAGUCGCCGCCCCUCCCCCACGUUUUUGUCUGUGCUGCUUCUCGCUGCAGCUCGGGGGAUUCUGUCCAAACAGCGUGCUGUCAGCGGCAUCAGCUAGCAGGAACGCACUAUCCUCCCAGCCACGGCUUUUACCGGGUACUAUUAGCUAAGAAAAUACUUCAGAUUUGUCUUAUUCGCGUCGUGUCACUCACUCGUUUCUGACAUGUCCCUUUCGCCGCUGGUUACCUCCCGUGCUUGGGGAAAUUUCAUUUUUUUGCAAUGCGGUAUUCAAUUCCGGAAACGAGUCAGCGUCUCCAGGGACAAAAAAGCAGCUUUGCAGACUGCCACAUCCCUUUUCUUUCACUGCCAUCAUUCCUGGAGUCAAAGGGGGCACCGUGACCUGGGCUUGUAACAUUUCUGAAAUCAAAUGUACUAGCUGGUUUUCUCCCCCCAACCCUGAAAAACUAUUAAAUCGACAGUCAAUUAAUGACUCAUAGCUUCUUCCAGGGAGGACCGACAUGCGACGGAAAUGCCCCCACACUCAUUACCGUUCUCCUGGUGAGCAGCAUGCUGCCUCGCCCGAGAAACAAAGCAAAAAGACAUUUCAGGCACCGCUCGACAACCUAGUUCAAGGCAAAAAAAAAAAAAAAAAAAGUAUUGAAGAUUUAUUUUAUGCCCAACUCCCUGGUGUACAUAGAGCUGAAUAAUUUAAUCCAGUCGAAGCAUAUUGAGGCUGACAUGGGGCUGGCACUAAGGCUACAAGGAAUAAAUCUCGAAGCAGCUCAGUGUGGUCCAGGAGACUGACUGCAAAUACGAAGCACCAUAGUGGAUGCGCACAGGAACAAACAACAGAAUCGUGUGUAGGGGAUGGGACUUUGCAGUUUCUUACAGAGCAGGGUAACAGCCUCCAGAUUUGCCGUUUGCUUUGUGAGAAGUACAUAUUUUUAUUUUUUAAGAUUUAAUUUUUUUUUAUUUGAAAGGAGAAUUACAGAGAGAGGAGGAGAGACAGAGAGAGAGAGAGAGAGAGAGAGAGAGAGAGAGAAUCUUCCAUCUGCUGUUUUACUCCCCAGAUGGCCUCAACGGCCGGGACUUGGGCCAAGCCGGAGCCAGGAGCCAGGAGCUUCUUCCAGGUCUCCCACGCGGAUGCAGGGGCCCAAGCACUUGGACCAUUUUCUGCUGCUUUUCCAGGCACCUUAGCAGGGAGAUGCAUCGGAAGUGGAGCAGCCAGGACUUAAACCAGCGCCCACAUGGGAUGCAGGCAUCCCAGGCAGAGGCUUAACCUGCUGUGCUACAGUGCCAGCCAUGAGAUAUAUAUUUGUAAAUGUUUGUAUAGGUUUAUUUAUUUGAAAGGCAGUUACAGAGAGAGGUAGGGAUCUUCUAUCUGCUAAUUCACUCCCUAAAUGACUGCAAAGCCAGGAGCCAGGAAUGCCAUCCAGGUCUCUCACCUGGAUGGUAGGGACCCAAGGAUUUGGGCCAUCUUUGCUACUUCCCCAGGCACAUUAGCAGGGAGCUGGAUCAGAAGUGGAGCAGCCGGGACUUGAACCAGCAUUCUGAUAUAGGAUGUUAGUAAAAUGGCACAGUCUUAUCUAGGGUGCAAGCUACACCCCGACACCAUCCUAGGCUCUAGCCCCGCAACCAUUGCUGGAAGCCAGCUGACCACAUGGCCUAACCACUGGUGUCAGCUCCACCCCCACCCUAAUGGGAUUCACUGAUUCUACUUUCCUGCCCACCAUCCCCCCAAAAGGUUUUUUUUUUUUUUAAAGAUAUUUUAUUUAUUUGAAAGACAGAGUUACAGGGCGAAGUAGAGACAGACAGAGAGAGAGAGAGAGAGAGAGAGAGAUGUCUUCCAUCCACUGGUUCACUCCCCAAAUGGCCGCAAUGGCUGUAGUUGAGCUGAUCUGAAGCCAGGAACCAGGGGCUUCUUCCAGUUCUUCCACGUGGAUACAGGGGCCCAAAGACCUGGGCCAUCAUCUGCUGCUUUCCCAGGCACACUAGCAGGGAUCUGGAUUGAAAGUGGAGCAACCGCGACUCGAACCGGAGCCCAUAUGGGAUGCCGGUGCUGCAGGUUGGGGCUUUAACUUGCAGCGCCACAGUGCUGGCCCCAAAAUUUAUUUGACAGAUAGAGUUAGUGAGAGAGAGACAGAGAGAAAGGUCUUCUUUCCAUUGGUUCACCCCCCAAAUGGCCACCAUGGCCGGAGCUACACUGAUCUGAAGCCAGGAGCCAGGUGCUUCCUCCUGGUCUCCCAUGCGGGUGCAGGGCCCAAGCACUUGGGCCAUCCUCCACUGCCUUCCUGGGACACCGCAGAGAGCUGGGCUGGAAGGGAAACAACCGGGACUAGAACCGGUGCCCAUAUGGGAUGCCGGCACCGCAGGUGGAGGAUUAACCAAGUAAGCCAUGGCGCCAGCCCCUUCCCCCCAAAGGUUUAACAGCACCUGUUCCUGAACACGUGGCUCGCGCGCUCUCUCUCUGUCUCUCGAUCUCUCUCUCUCUCUCUCUUAAUCUUUCUCUUACACUCUCCUCCCUCUUUCCCUUCUUCGCCCCUUCCCUCCGGUCUGUCCGGUUUCCCCACCAAUAAACCCUUCCCCUUACUCUGGUAUUUGGUGUGUUCUGUGGCCCCCUGACAUAGGAUACCAAUGUAUGCAACCUGCUGCACGACAACACUCGCCCCAUGUUUUUCUAGAUGUUUUUAUUGAGAUAAUUGUGGGUUUUACACAUAGUAGUAAGAAAUAUUAGAAAGAGCCUUGUACAAUUUGCCCCAGUUUCCCUCAAUGUUAAUGUUAUAGAAUAUCCCCCAAAGCGGCUGGAGGAGUUGCUACAGAACGCCCUCAAACUGUACCCCUGGCCCAGUGAGCAGCAAGCCGGUCACUGCCACCAGGGUGGUGGGGGGAAGGAGGUGUCUACUGCAGAGCCCAGAGCAGCGAGCAGGGGAGCUAUUGCCUAAUACCCGGGCUCCCUGAGGGUGAAGCCUCUUCCAGACGGAAGCUGGGGCUGACACGGGCACCUUCAGCUCAUGUCCAAGCUCUUGGUUGGUCUGCAGUGUGCCUGGCCCUCCUCUGAUGGGUGGGAGAUAUCGUGUCCCUUAGGGGACUUUGAUGAUGGCAACGUGGGCUCCAGUCGGUCUGGGGGCUGCAUGCAGGUGGUGGUUACUUUUUGCUCAGGGUCUGAGGUUCCAGGUUCCCUCAAGACAAGACUGAACAUCAAGAUCUUAUCUGUAGGGGGAGAUACAUGACUUAUCUUUGUCUUGUGUUCAGAGACCCUGUACGGUGGGCUGCACCAGAGAGCCAAUUUUGUAAGAUGUUGAUUUGUAAUCAUAGAAACAGGGCAAGAAAUUUCGAAACUAAGGGGAGGAGGCUGGGAGGCUGUAGGAGACUAGGAAUGGAUGGUGUCCAGCCUCUGCAUCCAGGGCACUGUACAGAGUUACACAGAGAGAGGAGAGACAGAGAGAGAGAGAGAGAGAGAGAGAGAGGUCUUCCAUCCACUGGUUCACUCCCCAAUUGGCCGCAACAGCCAGGAGCCAGGAGCUUCUUCCAGGUCUCCCACAUGGGUGCAGGGGCCUAACUUGGGGCCAUCUUCUACUGCUUUCCCAGGCCAAAGCAGAGCUAGAUCAGAAGUGGAGCAGCCGGGAUUAGAACCAGUGCCCACAUGGGAUGCUAGUGCUUCAGGCCAGGGCGUUAACCCACUGUGCCACAGCGCCAGCCCCCUCUGUGCCUUUUAUAACCACGCCCAUCUCCUGCCUGCCCCUGUGCUCCACCCUGCAACCACUAACUUAUGCAUUUCUUUUUUUUUUCUUUUAAAGAUUUAUUUAUUUAUUUGAAAAGCAGAGUUGGGGGGGAGUGGCAGAGAGAGAGACAGACAGGUCUUCCAUCUGCUGGUUUACUCUCCAGAUGGCUACAAUGGCUGGAGCUGCACCAAUCCAAAGCCAGGAGCCAGGAGAAUCUUCUGGGUAUUCCAUGUGGGUGCAGGGGCUCAAGGAUUUGGGCCAUCUUCUACUGCUUUUCCAGGCCUUAGCAGAGAGCUAGAUCAGAAGUAGAGCAGCCAGGACUCGAACUGGCGCCCAUAUGGGAUGCUAUGCCACGGUGCCAGCCCCAUGCAUUUCUAAAAUGUUGUCAUUUCCAAAAAAGUGGAGUCACACAGACCCUCUGGAUUUCUUUUUUUUUUUUCACUCAGUAUAGUUCUCUGGAGAUUCAUCCAGGGUGUUGUGGGCAUCUUACAGGUCAUUGCUUUUUAUUGUUGAGUAGUAAAUGCUACUAGGUGCUGUGGAAUUCCAUAGGAUGAAAUCGCAUGGUGUGUUUAACCAUUCAUCUGUCACGAACAGCUGGGCUGCUUCUAGUUUUAGACGAUUACACAUAAAGCUGCAGUGAACAUCUGUGGCGAGGUCUUCGUGUGGAUGUGAAUUUUCAUUUCUCUGGGAUCAGUGCUCAGGAGUGCAAUUGCAGGGUUGUAUGGAAGCUAUACGUUUAAUGUUUAAAGAAACUCGGGGCUGGCACUGUGGUGCAGCGGGUUAAAGCCUUGGCCUGAAGUGCUGGCAUCCCAUAUGGGUGCCGGUUCUAGUCCCGGCUGUUCCACUUCUGAUCCAGCUCUCUGCUGUGGCCUGGGAUAGCAGUGGAGGAUGGCCCAAGUCCUUGGUACCCUGUACCCACAUGGGAGACCUGGAGGAAGCUCCCGGCUCCUGGCUUUGGAUCAGCCCAGCUCCAGCCAUUGUGGCCAUCUGGGGAGUGAACCAGCGGAUGGAAGACCUCUCUCUCUGUCUCUACCUCUCUCUGUAACUCCAUCUUUCAAAUAAAUAAAAUAAAUCUUUAAAAAAAAAAAAAAAAGAAACUCACCGACUAUUUGCCCCAUUCCUGCCAGCAAUGUGUGAGUGGUGCGGUUUGGCUGCCUUCUCACUGUCACUUGGUGUGGUCACUAUUUUCAAUGUGUAGGCCUUCAAGCACGCGUGUAGCACUAGUCCACAGGGAUGUUCCGUUGUGUUUCUCUAAUGGUUAAUCACACUCAGCCUCUCCUCCUGCACCUCUUUCCUGUCUGUAUGUCCUCUUCGGUGAAGCGUCUCUUCUUUUGUCUAUUUUCUAAGUGGAGUGUUUGUCCUCUUACUGUUGAGUUUUGAGAGAUGUUUAAAAAAUAUAUUCUAGGGAAGGGCACUUGGCGCAGUGUGUGAGACGCCAUGUCGGAUGCCUACAUCCUGUAUCGGAGGGCCUUCGUCUGAAUCCUGGCUUCCCUCUGACUCCAGCUUCCUGCUGCUGUGCACCCUGGGAGGCAGCAUGCGAUGGUUCCAAUACUUAGGGUCUCUGCCACCCACAUGGGAGACCCAGAUGAAGCUCCUGGCUCCUGGCUUUGGCCUGGCCCAGCCCUGGUGGUUGUGGGCAUUUGGGGGAGUGAGCCAGCAGUUGGAAGAUCUCUAUCUAUCUGUCUCUCAUUUCUCUGUCUCUCCACCUUCCAAUUGAAUAAAAAAAGAGAAAAUGAAAUAUUCUGGAUGGCAAUCCUUUGUCAAAUAUUGGUUUCUAACUUAAUAGAGAGCCAACACCACCCUGGGCACAGCAGAUCAGCCCAGGAAAGGGCUAUGUUUCUUAAUCUCUUGUAUGUGGCCUUGUCCCUGGGCAUGGCCAUGGUCACCAUUUACGGACCUUUGAACAUGGGCCAGUAUAUUUUCCAUCCUCACAUUUCUCAGACUUGACUCACUCAAUCCCCAUUUGAUGACUGGUAGGCAGGUAAUAGCAUCAUCUGCAUCGUGUAGGAAUGGAGGAACUCAGAGAAGUUGAGCUAAUUUGCCUCCAGUCACAGAGCUAAUAAGAGGCACAGAGGUAAGACACAAUACAGAUUUCAGAUGCCAGAGCCCAUCUGAAGAUGGAUAAUGGGUAGAUAGGCUGGUAGAUUCAUGGAUAGAUAGAUGGACUGACAGAUAAAGAGAUAGAUGAGGAAGAGCAAAGCACUUGAGCCAUUAUCCACUGCCUUCUCAGGUGCAUUAGUAGGGAGCUGGAUCAGAAGCGGAGCAGCCAAGACUCACUGGGAUGCCAGCAUUGCAAACGGUGGCUUAACCCGCUGCCCCACAAACCCAGCCCCAAACUUAUCUUUUAAUUUCAUGGUCCAUGAACUUUUUGAACUCCGCUCAUAUGUAAUUUUCAAUUUUCUGGCACAUUUUAAAAAGUAACAAGAAACAGGUGAAAUAAAGUUUAACAGUAUUUCUUUAACCCGAUGCUAUCAUUGUAACAUGUAAGCAUUUCAACGUGCAUCUCUGAUGUUUAAAAAUGGCCCCAGGUGAUUCUCAUUAAUUUUGCUGCGUUAAGGCACCAAAGGUGAGGCUGGCAUUGUGACGUAGCAGGUUAAGCCAGCGCUUGCAACACGGCAAUCCCUUGUCAGAGUGCUGGAACGAGCCCCAGCGGCUCCGCUUCCAAUGUAGCUCCCCGCUAAUGCACAUGGGAAGGCAGCAAAAGAUGGCCCGAGUAUUUGAGCCCCUGCCACCCAUGUGGGAGACCUGCAUGGAGUUACAGGCUCCUGGCUUCUGCCUGGCCCAGAUCCUGCUAUCGUGGCUAUUUAAGGAGUGAACCAGUGGAUGGAAGAUCAAUCUCUCUCCCUCUCUCUCUCUCUCUCUCUCUCUUCUCUGUGUCUCUCUGCAUUUUAAAGAAAUAAAUUUUAGGAAAAAAAAAAAGAUACCUAAGGGUUAGCUCAUUUGGGUUCCACUUGAGUAACAAAAGAAACGAAAGCACUUUCCUUCUCUUGGUAUCUAUUUGCGCUCUACAUUUUGGAUAUGGGCUAUUCAAAUGAACUUUCUGAUGUAAUAGGCCUUUCUCCUUCCCGUUCUGGCCAUUUGACCAAAAUCUGAGACCUUUUAGCACCCUCAUCGAAUGCACUCACUCUCCAUUCUCCCUACAAAUCACAAGCCUUGGCUUCUUUCAUUCCAAGUGAUUUUCCUCUGGAACACACAGAAGUAAUUUUAUACGGUGGCCCUGGAAACUGCUUUUGCUGUUAGAAAAAAAGAACUCCUAAGGUGAUCUGUAAGUGGGUUUAGCUGGAGUCCACCCACAUCCCCACAGGGCUAAAUGCUCCUGUUAUAAUAGGAGAGAGAGGGAGAGAGAGGGGGAAAAAAAUAACAGCAGACACAUGAAGCUGGAGGGCACCUUUAGAAAACACUCAACACAGUUGUGCUUAAAUAUUGCGCCCCCGGGCACCUGCUCAGCCCACAGCUGCACAGGAGUUUUUGCCGUACUGCAGUGUGCUCGUUAGAUGCGUCUCAUCUGCUACCCUCUGAGAUGGUGAAGACGGGGAUUAGGUCUCCCCCACUCGAGCCCCCAGCGUGGUGCCUGCUGCAUAGUAGGCGGUGAGUAGAUGUCUGACCAGUGAGUGGGAUGCUUCUGGACUUGGAAUAGUCCUUCAUGGCGUGGUAUCCGGCAUUCAUAAAAGAUCAAAGUGAGGGCUUGAGUUCCCAUCUUUUGUGUUCCUAGGGCUUGCCUGUGUUCUCGGUUGUGUUUUGCCUCUGCAUGGGGCUGAGUUUCUGUAACAUGUGGCUGGCAUUUUCAACAUUUCAAAUGUGGCUGAUUGAGGUCCCGGGCAUAAUGUGACAUAUAAUUAUCCGGUGGGGAUUUCAAAGUGCUAUGAGAAUUAAAUGAAAUCCUCAACCUACCACACCUAGCGUGGCCAUUUGCACUUCCAAGUGCAGAGAGCCUUUCCCAGGAUUGAAGCCUGCGCAGAGGAAAUCGGCCUUGAGCGAAGGAGCUGUAACGUGUCUUUCUGAUGACAUCAGAGGAACACCUGGAUCCAACCCUACUUGGACGAAGUCAGUGUGCCUGCUCUUGUCUGUCCUAAGAGCCCAUGCAUUGGCUCUUCAUUUAAGCCAGGCUGAUUGGGCCUCUGUCCCUGUCACAGCAGAGGCACUGAUGAGCAGAAUAAAAACAAAAUAGAGAACAGUAAAAGUCAACAUGUAUAGAGUGUUAGGCUGCUUGAUACCAAUUACGAAUGGGAUCGAAGUGCAGAGGCACAGGGAGCUGGGGGAAGUUCACAGAGCUAAUGAGACUUGGGCAGGGCACAGUCGCUAUUGUGACCAAAAAGAAAUGGGGCCGGGUGUGGCUCAGCAGACCAUGACAGUAUAGCACCCCAUAAAAUCCGAGCUUGUCGGGGGCCUGUGCUGCCUGCAGUGCUGGCAUCCCAUAUGGGCACCGGUUUAUGUCCCGGCAGCUCCAUUUCCCAUCCAGCUCUCUGCUGUGGCCUGGGAGAGCAGUGGAAGAUGGUCCAAGCCCUUGGGCCCCUGCACCUGCAUGGGAGACCCGGAAGAAGCUCCUGGCUCCUGGCUCCUGGCUCCUGGCUCCUGGCUCCUGGCUCCUGGCUUCGGAUGGGCACAGCUUCGGCCAUUGCGGCCAAUUGGGGAGUAAACCAACAGAUGGAAGAUCUCUCUCUCUCUCUCUCUCUCUCUCUCUGUGUAACUCUGACUUUCAAGUAAAUAAAUAAAUCUUUAAAAAAAAAAUCAGAGCAAAUCGGGGAAGAAGAUUUGGCCCAGUGUUGUACUAGACUUUAUCGUCUUUUAACAUUUUUAAGAGGACUAGCAGAAGGGGAGGAAAUGCAGACUGCUAGAUGUGAACAGUCAUCCAAGCACACCCCACCUUCUGGCCUCAACGUGCUCUGUUCUCCAAAGCCAGGAGCCAGGAGCUUCUUCCCGGUCUCCCAUGUGGGUGCAGGAGCCCAAGGACUUGGACCAUCUUCUACUGCUUUCCCAGGCCACAGCAGAGAGCCGUAUCAGAAGUGGAGCAGCCGGGUGCCCACCAGCCAAUCCCAUAUGGGAUGCCGGCACUGCAGGCGGCGGCUUUUACCCGCUAUGCCACAGCGCUGGAACCCACCCGCCCCCUGGGCAUUAGUAGGUUUAAAAACUCCCCAGGUGCUUCCAUUGGGCAUGGCGUUUGAGAACAAGCACUCUGAGGCAGUGCUUCCCGGAUGUUCACAUACAUUCGAAUCAAAGGACGUUCUUUCCAACAAACCCAGAUUUCCCAGUAAUAAACUCUUGGACAGCUCCAUGUGGCGAAAUGUGGUUGGACUAUGCGCUAAUGUCAGGUCUGAGCCAGGAUACAGAAUGACCAACCAUCCUACCUUGCCCGAGUCUCAGGGAUUUCCCAAGACACGGGGCUUUCAGAACUAGAAGAGGAAACUCCUGGGCAAGCCGGGGUGGUUGGUCACUGGCCAAGGAAGCUCUGACCACUGCUACAAAGCUUUUCUGACUCAACAGGCACCGCUGCUAAUGUAAGGGUGAGCAGAACUUGAGUCCUCAAACUCGCGCAGAUGUUUCAACUCUGAAGGGUUAAGGGACGGUGGAUUAAUGGUGGAGACCUGGUCUCAUUAUGGCGUCUCACAGGUGGGCCAAGUGCAAGGUCACUAGGAGCUUGCCCUCAGGAGAUAGUGCACUUGAUGUAGUUGCUUAUUUAAGCUCUCUCUCGGCUUAGCUUCUCUCUCUGCUUCCUGGCUCACCAAGGGGUUCGCGCCUUGGCACCUGCUCUGCCAUGGGGAGCCUCCACCAUGCAACAGACUAAUGGGGCCACUGAUCCUGAACUUUGAACUGUUAAACUGUAAGGCAAAAUAAACCUUUUCCUUCCCAAAAGACGUCUCGUGAGGAUUUUAGUUAAAGUAAUGAGAAGCUGGCUAACAUAGGGGGUGAACGAAAUCUCAGAGGAUGGUCCUGGGAGAGGGAAAGGAAUCACAAGGUACUUAACCUGUUGUUUUUUACAGAUUUAUUUUUAUUGAUUUGAAAAGCAGAAUUACAGAAAGAGGGAGAAAGAGAGAGAGAAUCUUUCAUCUACUGGCUCACUCCCCCAAAUGGCCACAACGGCUGCAGCUGGGCUGGUCUGAAGCCAGGAGUUUCAUCCGGGUCUCCCACGUGGGUGCAGGGGCCUACAUACUUGGGCCAUCCUCCACUGGCUUCCCAGGCACAUUAACAGGGAGCUGGAUCGGAAGUGGAGCAGCCGGGACUCAAACCGCUGCCCAUAUGGGAUGCUGGCGUCUCAGGUGGAGGCUUAACCCGUUAGGCCACGACACUGGCCCCUAGGUGUUGGAUCUUGCUUGAAGCAGGUGUACAAGUACUUGUGCAAGGGCACACGUGUAAACAAAAGAAGGCAGAUGCUUGCUCUGGCUUUACCUGCCUGGGAGGCACCUGUCAAAGAACAACAUUUCAGCAAAUUGAGCUUUUAAAGCUCUAAUUGACUUUUAAUAGCAAUCUAUGAAUCAGGCAGCAUGCAGUUUACAAAAAUAGAAAGGCGCUUUAAUGCGCUGGGCAGAGGGGGUGGACUGUAAAGGCAGAAAAGGCUAAAGAGAGCGGAAAUAAGGAACACAAAGCAGAUGGGUCAUUUCCUGGGGCCCCUGUUUUGACUGCUCCUCUGCCUCUCAUUCAGUCCACACUGAUGGCCUCUGUUCUUUAGGACCUGCUAUCAGAGGAAGCCAAGGCCUGGGUACCUAUCCACGGCAAGUCCGUGUGCCAUGCUUUGGACACAUGGCCAUCUUCCUGUCCUUCAUGUAUGUUGUUGCUUCUGCAAAGCUCCUUUUGCCCUCUUCGCUGUGUUAACACCUACUUCUGCUUCUCAUAGCAGCCCAAGCCUCGCCUCUUCCAGGAAGCCCUCCCUGACCUUCCUAAAGCUGCUCAUAGCAUCAUUCACUCUAAUGUAAUCUUCAAGAAGCAGAGGGCAGAGAGGCUGUGUCUGGUUUUGGGCAUCACUGGUCAAAGCUGUCUGUUAGAAUGCUAAGGAGCCCUUUUCCAACUUCAGAGACCCUGCUAAGAACAAUGGGGCAGGUGCUGGCACUUGACUGGCCAGGCAAUUCUCAAAGAAUGCUUGACACAGGCCAGAAAACUGAGUGCCAGAAAUCUUGGGACACAGCCUAGUGCCGGGAGGUCCCCUGCCCGGGCGAGCUGAGCUGGGUUGAGCUGAGCUGAGUGAGAGGUGGCUCUGCACACCAGUGAUUAACCACUAAGGUGAUGCCCAGCCUCUGCUGCUUUUCAAGUCUUCGCCCUCUGCCUCUUCUACAAAGAUCCUGCGCUCCUGAAGUCGCACAUGGUUGGCCUGGCUGGUGUUGGGGUGUCAGGGGAGGAGGUAGGGACAAGGUCCUUUUCCAGUUCGUGUAUCUUGUGAUUCUGUUACUUGACAUUCUGAGGAUUCCUUUCCCCUUUUAAAGGGUGAGCGUUUUGACAGAGUGACCUGCACUGCCUCCAGGGGGAAGAGGCAGGGGAUUCCUGGGCUGUGACUCACUCAGCCACCAGGGCUGGAGGCAGUUCGUCAUCCCUUAUUCCACAGCAAGGACAGGUUCUCUCUCAAGGCCGGAUAAUGUUCUGAACCCGUACUCACCAGGCAACCGGCCAUUUCAAAUGGCAGCUUUCCCUGAGGCCCAGGAAGGAGGGCUUGGGUGGGGCACCUGGACUGUGUGGAUGCUUUGUGUUAUGAAUUAAGAAUCCAACAUCUGGGGCGGGACAUUGACGAGGUGGCUAAGUCCCCACUUGGGGUGUCUGCAUCUGCCUGGUUGGAAUCCUGGUUCUUCCUGAGGGCCAGCUUCGUGCUGACGUGUCACAGCCUCAGGGCAGCAGGUGACGGCUCCGUGGACCUUUAGUCCUUGCCACCCAUGUGGGGAACCUGGAUGGAGUCCCUGGCUGGUGCAGGCAUUUGAGGAGUGAGCCAGUAGAGGGAAGAAGAUCUCUCUCGGUCUUGUCUCUCUGUUUCUCUGCCCUUAAGAUGAAAUGGAAAGACAUAAAUAAAAAUUUUUUUUUGAAAAAAGAAAGACUCCAACAUCCUGCGUGAGGCAGGAAAGAGGAGUGAGGGCCUGCCUGGACGGGCCCUGAGUUUGGCUGGCUGGAAAGGAGUACCUGUUCAGAAAGGGAGUACUAGACAGCAGUUAACAUGACUAGCAUGGGCCAAUUUUUCAAACCCAGUGGCAGAGAGAAAAAGCAAAUGGCAGACAUCUGGGAAGUGAACCAGUGGAUGGAAGACCUCUCUCUCUCUCUCUCUCUCUCUCUCUGCUUCUGCCUCUCUGUAACUCUGCCUUUCAAAUAAAUUAAUUAAUCUUAAAAAAAAAAAAAGCAAAUGGCAGAAAGACACAAA